rnacentral:rRNA from 1 species
UCCAGCAGCCAUAUCACCCUGCAGCCCAAGACUGGUUGCCCACUGAAGCUAAGCAGGGUUGAGCCUGGUCAGUACCUGGAUGGGAGACCUCCUGGGAAAACUAGGUUGCUGCUGGAA